CUUCAAGGAAUCUCCCUAACGUGUAGUUGUGAGGUUAAGGUCGGGCUUGUUGAGAACGAAAGACACUAAUCGGGGAAAAGGAGCGUCUGCUAUUAGUAAUCACGCCUUAAAAAAUGGACAUAGCAGACAAAAAGUCAACACUCUGGCAUCAGAAAUCUCUUGAAGAACAAGCAUCUCGUCUAGAGACACAAUCUUCGUUGUCUCAAACAUCAGAUAUGAUCGCACGCGUGCUCGUCAUUUACACUGGCGGAACGAUCGGAAUGAUAAACAAGGACGGAGCCUAUGUGCCAGAAGCCAAAUGCCUUGUGACUAAGCUACGAUCACUAUCCAUUUUCCAUGAUGAAGAUUUUGUUCUUGGCCAUCUGUCUCCAGAGAAUCAGAAAAUCUUCCUUGCACUCCCGGCUCCUAUGGAUGACGGGAGCAAGCUGGUAAAGGAAAAAAGGCGCAUUGUUUAUAAAGUGAUAGAGUUUGAACCCCUGCUAGAUUCAUCCAACAUGACUGGAAAUGACUGGAUAAAGAUUGCGGAGUGCAUACAGAAACAUUAUGACAAGUAUGAUGGAUUUGUGGUUCUACAUGGCACAGACACAAUGGCUUACACUGCUUCUGCUCUAUCGUUUAUGUGUGAACAUCUUGGCAAACCAAUCAUUCUGACUGGUUCACAAAUUCCAAUUUUUGAGGUGAGAAGUGAUGGGAGAGAUAAUUUUCUGUCCUCUUUGAUCAUUGCUGGAACUUACCCCAUUCCUGAGGUGCUGCUGUGCUUCAAUGAAAAAGUGUACCGUGGUAACAGAUGCGUCAAGUCAGACAACUCCAGCUUCUCCGCUUUCUCCUCUCCCAACAUGCCUCCCCUUGUCAGAUUAGAAAUUGAUAUUUUUGUGGAUUGGCCAGCAGUGUUUUAUACUGGAGAGACAGAGAAGUUUAGAAUCCACACUAAUAUGUGUCAAAAUGUGGGCAUAUUGCGCCUGUUUCCUGGAAUCACAGCACAGACAGUGAGGGCUUUUAUGCAGCCUCCAAUGCAGGGUAUUAUCCUGCAGACUUAUGGAGCUGGAAAUGCACCAACCAAUCGGGCAGAUCUUCUUGAUGUGCUUGAGGAAGCUUGCAAGUGGGGUGUACUGAUUGUUAACAUCACUCAGUGCAGUCGUGGCAAUGUCAAUGCAGCUUAUGCCACUGGAGUGGCACUGCAGAAAGCUGGUGUGAUACUUGGUGGAGAUAUGACAACAGAGGCAGCUCUGGCCAAGCUAAGCUAUGUCUUGGGAAAAGGUGACUGGUCCAUGGAAAAACGAAAGAAGAUGCUGGGGCAGAACCUGCGUGGUGAGAUGACAACAGUAGCACAGGAGACCUUGUCUUUUAUGGACCAUGACCUCAUUGAGAGUGUUGCCCAAACACUUCAUCUGAGCACGCAUGAGGAGGUGAACAAACUGAAGGAUGCUCUCUUUCCCAAUCUCAUGUGUGCUGCUGCUAAAAAUAGUGACAUUCCUGCCUUGGAAAAACUCAUUGAAGCGGGCAGUCAUUUAUCAGCACCAAAUCAAGAUGGUCGAACUGCUCUUCAUGUAGCCUGCCACAGUGGAGAUCUCCGGCUGGUACAGUUUCUGCUGAACAAUGGAGCAUCUGUGCAUGUGCGGGAUUAUCGAGGCGACAGUCCAUUGAUUGAUGCAAUACAUGCAAAAAACUUGGACAUCAUUUAUUUGCUUGUACAGACAGGCGCUGUAAUACCCUGGUCCAAGUCUGCAAUAGCUUUACAUUUGUGCAGUGCUGCCGCACUCAACGACCUCAACACUAUCAAAGCUUGGCAUGCUGCUGGAGCUGACCUCAAUAGUUUUGACUACGACUAUCGCACUGCCCUUCAUGUCGCUGUGACAAGUAAUAGAAAAGAUGUAGCAGAGUUUCUGAUGAAGAAUGGUGCUCACUGCAAUCUUCAAGAUGUCUUUGGUUUGACUGCAUUGACUAUAGCCCAGAAACUGGGUUACACAGAGCUACUGAGUAUACUGAAUCCUGAUGGACAUCUUUGUGUGGAACCAAUUGAGAACUUGCUGUCUUGUAAUCACACUUCUUCUUUAUGACCAUUACACUGGAUUUUCUGUGAUGUAUAGAGAGGAAUCAUGCCAAACAAAAAAAUUAGACAUAUCAUUUAUUCUAUCAUUUUGCCAGAGAAACUUUGGGGAAACAAAAUAUUCUUUAUUGCAUGGUACAUUUUUAUAUUUGGACAUACAUACUACCACUAUCAUCAUUAUUGUUAUAUUUAUUUUGAAUGGAAAUGCAGUUAUCAUGUGACAUUAAUCUCUUCCUAUACACAAAUGCUGAUAACUGUAAUUCCACAUAACACUGCCCAUUUUAACUGAUGUCAGUUUAAUUUAUUUAGAACAGUGGUGGUAUUGGCUUAGUCAUAAAGACUCCUGGAUGGUCCCACUUACACUGAAAUCUGUUUGAAAGUUUUUUCCGGAAAAUCCCUGCAUAACUAGCAAUCUUGCAUCAGUGUUGAAUUCUUUUGUAGUUUGUCAAGGUCAUUCACAGGACUGUAAUACAGUUUUGUAAUUGUAAAAUAUCUGGGUUCCUUUUGAUUGAGAAAUGCUUACAAGAUGAAGUGCUAAGAACUGACUGUCCAUCUUUCAGAUAUUGCAGCAGUUUAAUGUGUGACAUUUCUGGAAUGUAAAUUGUGUUAAUUUCAUUUUAAAUACAAAGAAUCUCAUUUUAAAUAUCUCUAAAAGUGAUAAAUUCAAGUUUGUAAACUAUGUAUACAUAUCUAAAUCAAAACAUGUUAGAUUAUAUGCUGAGAGUGGAUUUUGAAAUAACAGUUUAGUAUAUUGAUAUACAUUCAGCUGAUACUGGGAGUUUCAUAUAUGUACUCGUUGUGUGACACUUUAGGCAGGGAUCUACUUUGAAUGCUAUUUCUUACAGCAGAAUAUGCACGUUACAAAUUCUGCAUAUAAAAAAAAGUGAAAUGCUAUCAGAUUUAUGUUGGGUUAAUGGUACGAUAGUGAAGAUCAUGUAGAGCUUAUGCCAAAGAUGCUUUCUGAGCUUUUCAGGAUUUGUAAUUUAUUUAUUUUAUUUUUUUUUUACAAAAUUAUUGAUGAGGUUUCUUGUGGAGUUAAAGUGCAUUAAUUUGAUAGUAGAAUCAAAGAAUCUCACUUGCAGUGUUUUUCUUUUUAAUUUAAAAAAUAUUUUACAUCUUUUAAAAAUGAUAGUCAAGUGCACAAACUGUAUAUAUAAAUUAAGACAUAAGAUAUGGUGCAAAAGUGGAUUAACAGUUUGAUAUUCUGAUUGUUUGCAUUUAUUAGUGCCUGAUGUAAACAUUUUGGUGAUACUGAUUUUGUUUAGAUUACUAAAUCAUCUUUGCUGUCAUUUGCUGCUUUGCAUUUUGUAUUAAACUCCUGAUAGCUGGGUUCAUAUGAUAGCCAGAUAAUCAAGAGUAGUAAACUCCUUGGUUUUGAGACUAUAUGAUGCUCAUUAUUACCACAUCCACAUCAUACAGUAAGGUAUUUGUUAAAUCACACAAUGAAAUUUGGAUCCGUACAGUUGUUAAACACCUUCUUCUACCCAUCCACCCCUUUAUCCUCAUCAAAAAAGUCCUUUGUCUGAUCCCAUUUACAGAUAGACAAUUUUCAUAUACCAGCUCUCUCUGAACAUUUUGUUAUGGAGGUUUUCCUCAUCCACAGUCUGUGGUAGAAAGCUUGAUCCUAUUCCACCCAGUGCUUCAGGUGCUCUGGCUGUAUUAAAUUGUUAUAUUUAUACAGGCGGCUCUAUAUAAUAGUAAGACGGAAUCAUCCAGAAUACAUAGAUUCCAUUAAUUCAAUCAUUGAUACACAGUUCCAGGAUGAAGGCGUUUUUUUUUUUUUUGGGGGGGGGGGGGGUUGUUCAUUAACUUUAUCUUACUUAUGGGUUUAUGGCAACAUCAGAAUUGUUGCCAUGUUUUUAAUUCAUUUUUCAGAAUCUCAGUUUGUCAGUCUUGAUCUUGGUGUUUCUUCAGGGUACUUUCAUGUACCAGGGUAAAGACUCUUUAAGGCCAUGACAAAACAGUGACCAUUGUUGAAGAAAAACUGAGAGAAUCUUAGACAUUUUUGGAGGAGAAAGGAUGAUUUUCAUUUCUAAUUUUUACGCUGCAAUAAAACAUUGUGGCACACAAGAAACACUUCUGGGUAACCUAAAUGUCUUGUCAUUUUUUUUUUUUUAAAAUAAAUAUGCCGAGAAAACCUCUAUUUGCUACACUGAGGUCAUGACAAUCCUUUUUUAAAAGCAUGUUUUUUUAAAAAAAGAAAAGCUGUAGUUUUAAGCACCAUCCCACCAAAGUUUCUCGUUAAAGUUGUUUUAUAAGCUGUGAUGUUGCUGUAAAUGUUCUUUACAUCAAGUAUUGUAAGUGUGCAUUUAUUAUGACACAUAUAUGGAUGUGGCAACAAGUAUUUAUAAACAUUGCUUUAACACAGAUCUGAUUUAAUAUUUUAAAAACAGUAAAGGUUUUGUAAUACAAUUAUUAUAUUUAUGAGGUAAUUUCAAUAAUCACCAGUUUAUUUUUGGUGAUGUUUUCAGGAAUUAAGUAUGUGUGCUACAUGUGCAGUGAGAAUAAAGAACUUGCAUCUAAACUUAUGUACCACAGCUCAACAUCAACAAGCUCAAAA
rnacentral:misc_RNA from 1 species